rnacentral:tRNA from 1 species
UGCGGGGUCGUCUAACGGCAGGAUGGGACGCUCUGAACGUCUCGGUGUUGGUUCGAUUCCAGCCCCCGCAG